UGGGAUAGCUCAGUUGGUAGAGCACGAGACUCUUAACCUCAGGGUCAACGGUUCAAGCACCAAGUUGGGCAAAA